AAUAGAUUUUGUUAGGUGAGGCUCCUAUACAAACAUAGGCUACUGCCCAGAAAUGUCGAGAG
rnacentral:ncRNA from 2 species